rnacentral:rRNA from 1 species
ACGGGAGGCAGCAGUGGGGAAUAUUGCGCAAUGGGGGGAACCCUGACGCAGCAAUACCGCGUGAGUGAAGAAGGUUUUCGGAUCGUAAAACUCUUUUAUUGGGGAAGAAGAAUGACGGUACCCAAUGAAGAAGUCCCGGCUAACUACGUGCCAGCAGGCGCGGUAAUACGUAGGGGACAAGCGUUGUCCGGAAUGACUGGGCGUAAAGGGCACGUAGGCGGUUAAUUAAGUCUGAUGUGAAAGGUACCGGCUCAACCGGUGACAUGCAUUGGAAACUGAUCAACUUGAGUACUGGAGAGGCAAGCGGAAUUCCUAGUGUAGCGGUGAAAUGCGUAGAUAUUAGGAGGAACACCAGUGGCGAAGGCGGCUUACUGGACGAUAACUGACGCUGAGGCUCGAAAGCGUGGGGAGCAAACAGGAUUAGAUACCCUGGUA